rnacentral:rRNA from 1 species
UGGGGAAUAUUGCACAAUGGGCGGAAGCCUGAUGCAGCGACGCCGCGUGAGGGAUGACGGCCUUCGGGUUGUAAACCUCUUUCAGCAGGGACGAAGCGCAAGUGACGGUACCUGCAGAAGAAGCACCGGCUAACUACGUGCCAGCAGCCGCGGUAAUACGUAGGGUGCGAGCGUUGUCCGGAAUUACUGGGCGUAAAGAGUUCGUAGGCGGUUUGUCACGUCGUGUGUGAAAUCCCACAGCUUAACUGUGGGCUUGCAGGCGAUACGGGCAGACUUGAGUACUGCAGGGGAGACUGGAAUUCCUGGUGUAGCGGUGAAAUGCGCAGAUAUCAGGAGGAACACCGGUGGCGAAGGCGGGUCUCUGGGCAGUAACUGACGCUGAGGAACGAAAGCGUGGGGAGCAAACA